rnacentral:rRNA from 1 species
AAGUACACCGCCGAAGUUGUGGCAUGACACCGUAUAGCUGAGCCGUUUGUGGUUGAGGUGGUGUUGUGGGUAGGGGAGCGUCGUUGGGGUAGUGAAGCUGCGGGGUGACCCAGUGGUGGAACCUCAACGAGUGAGAAUGCAGGCAUGAGUAGCGAUAGACGGGUGAGAAACCCGUCCGCCGGAUGAUCAAGGGUUCCAGGGUCAAGCUAAUCUGCCCUGGGUGAGUCGGGACCUAAGGCGAGGCCGACAGGCGUAGUCGAUGGACAACGGGUUGAUAUUCCCGUACCGACGAAGAACCGACCCUACUGAACCGGGGAUAC